rnacentral:rRNA from 1 species
GACGAACGCUGGCGGCGUGCUUAACACAUGCAAGUCGAGCGGUAAGGCCCUUUCGGGGGUACGACGAGCGGCGAACGGGUGAGUAACACGUGGGUGACCUGCCCUUAGCUCUGGGAUAAGCCUGGGAAACUGGGUCUAACACCGGAUAUGACUCCAUAACGCAUGUUGUGGGGUGGAAAGCCUUGUGCGGCUAGGGAGUGGGCCCGCGGCCUAUCAGCUUGUUGGUGGGGUGAUGGCCUACCAAGGCGACGACGGGUAGCCGGCCUGAGAGGGCGACCGGCCACACUGGGACUGAGACACGGCCCAGACUCCUACGGGAGGCAGCAGUGGGGAAUCUUGCGCAAUGGGCGAAAGCCUGACGCAGCGACGCCGCGUGGGGAUGACGGCCU